rnacentral:rRNA from 1 species
GGUGAACGCUGGCGGCGUGCUUAAGACACGCAAGUCGAACGGCAGUCUUCGGACUGUAGUGGCGCACGGGUGAGUAACGCGUAACUGACCUACCCCAAACUCGCGGAUAACGAUUCGACAGAAUCGCUACUACGUGAUGUGCUGUUGGAUUGUGUUCUUCAAGUAAAGAUUGAUUACUUUGGGAUGGGGUGGCGUUCCAUCAGCUAGUUGAUGGGGUAAAGGCCCACCAAGGCGACGACGGAUAGCCGGCCUGAGAGGGUGGCCGGCCACAGGGGCACUGAGACACGGGUCCCACUCCUACGGGAGGCAGCAGUUAGGAAUCUUCCACAAUGGGCGAAAGCCUGAUGGAGCGACGCCGCGUGAGGGAUGAAGGUCUUCGGAUCGUAAACCUCUGAAUCAGGGACGAAAGACACUUCGGUGGGAUGACGGUACCUGAGUAAUAGCACCGGCUAACUCCGUGCCAGCAGCCGCCGUAAUAC